GACGAACGCUGGCGGCGUGCUUAACACAUGCGAGUCGAGCGGUAAGGCCCUUUCGGGGGUACACGAGCGGCGAACGGGUGAGUAACACGUGGGUGACCUGCCCUCAGCUCUGGGAUAAGCCUGGGAAACCGGGUCUAAUACCGGAUAUGACUCCAUGACGCAUGUUGUGGGGUGGAAAGCCUUGUGCGGCUGAGGAUGGGCCCGCGGCCUAUCAGCUUGUUGGUGGGGUGAUGGCCUACCAAGGCGACGACGGGUAGCCGGCCUGAGAGGGCGACCGGCCACACUGGGACUGAGACACGGCCCAGACUCCUACGGGAGGCAGCAGUGGGGAAUCUUGCGCAAUGGGCGAAAGCCUGACGCAGCGACGCCGCGUGAGGGAUGACGGCCUGGUGUAAC
rnacentral:rRNA from 1 species